rnacentral:rRNA from 1 species
UACGGAGGGGGCUAGCGUUGUUCGGAAUUACUGGGCGUAAAGCGCACGUAGGCGGCUUUGUAAGUUAGAGGUGAAAGCCCGGGGCUCAACUCCGGAAUUGCCUUUAAGACUGCAUCGCUAGAAUUGUGGAGAGGUAAGUGGAAUUCCGAGUGUAGAGGUGAAAUUCGUAGAUAUUCGGAAGAACACCAGUGGCGAAGGCGGCUCACUGGCCCGAUACUGACGCUGAUGCACGAAAGCGUGGGGAGCAAACAGG